UCCCCACACUCAUCUUGACUUAUAAUAGUAUGAUCACUGAAGAUUGAAUAACGAAUAGUGAAUGCAACGGCGCACGAGGUUCGAACGAGCCCGUUGUCGGGAGUCCGAACUCCUGAUAACCCCUGAUAAUGUCACCGCUGUACUGUAGAGACGCACACAUAAUCGCCAUUUUCACUAUUGACUGACAAAUACUUGACACAAACACACACACACACACACACACACGGAGUUCGCCGUUGAUGUUGUUUCCGGAUUUCUAAAAGUAAGUAAAUUUUAUUAAUUAAUGUCUACCUAUCCUCAGAGUUUAACCACUUACCCAUUGGUAAUGGGUUACUAUCUUUUUUCCUUCUCACGUUUACAAAUUCAAUUUUAAUGAUUCCUCUUUUUCUACUUUCCAUACAAAAGUGUGUAUUUGUGAUUUAUCCCAUGUCUUCAACUGUCCCUCGUUAUUUGCUGAACGCCAUAUUUUACGUGUCUUUCUUACCUCUUUAAAUAUUCCUUUUAAUCUUCCUGUUAUUCUGAGUUCUAAUUCUGAAUAUAUUAUUAAAAUAAUUAUCUUUUGUCUUAGUGGCUGGCUUCGUCAUUUUCUUCUUUAAUAUUAUUAAUUUUUUCUUAAACUGUAUCUGCUACUAUUGUAAAUUAUAAUUUAUUGUCGGGCUGAAUAGUUUUACAAUGCUAAAUUCCUGUGGUAAUACUCACAUGUCCACAAGCCGCCAGAAUGGCAUUAUGUCAUGCGUUGUCAUAGGGGACCGAGGGAAUCUUAACUACUUAUUAUUAUUUAUUAUAAAUUUAACCUUAGGUAUAGAGUCAGUUGGGGUAAAUGUGAAUAAUCUAAUCUCAGGGAAUUGUAAAUAAAUUAGUUAACUUUUGCGAAAUAAUUGAAACUGAGAAUUUUUUCUGAAUGUUGAUAAAUGGCCAAACUAAUUUUGUUUGCCUGUGGUCAGUAGGCCCUUUCGAUUGAUCCGUAUAAAUAUCCUGUAUGUCUUUGCAUACACAUGGCCCUGAUACAUGUUUCUAGGGUGUAUUCGCUCAUGUCUCAGAUGUUUAAAAGGCUUAUAAUCACUUGGCUUGCAAUACUAAAACAAUAAGUAUUUGGAUGUUUCAUCAACAAAAUAUCUAUAGCAAGAUAAGAGUUAUUUACGCCCACUAAAAUGGUAUACAGAUUUUAAUUUUACCUAAAUGUUCUUUUUCAAUAUAACAUAUAUUUGUAUUAUAUAAGUAAUAGUAAAACCAUUAUACAGGGGAUUACUACAAAUUUAUAAGAGUUAUAAUGAAUUUUAAAAAUCAAAUCAAAUAAAAAAUGCCUACAUAUACCUAGGUAAACUAUGUUAUAUCAUGGCUAUAUCUAUACGAUUAUACUCAAUAGCUGUGUUUAAGAUAGUAAAAUAUAAAAUGUAAUUUGUAUCAAAUAAAUAAAUUUAUUACUUUAUUUUUCUGAUAAGUAGGUAAAAUAAAUUAAUAUGAUAACACAAAAUAUUUUCACUGAAUUAUGUUAUCCAAGUCUUCUUUUUGUGAGCUUGGAUAGUUAUUAAAGUACCAAUAAAUUUGAUCUCGAUUUUAGUUAUAACAUUUCUCAUUAAACCUAUGUAUUCAUGUAAAUACUUAUAGUCUUGUUAUAAUUGUAAGAAUAUAAUUUUUAAAUUUUAUUUAUAAUGUUUUGUUACCUAAUUUAUUUAAUGAAUUUAAAAUAAUUUACAUUAAUAUGAAUUAAAGUAUUAAUCCAUUCAACAAGCAAUUCUGUAACUUGAUAUGUAACCAUUUUCAUUGCUAGUAGAAUUAAAAUAUAAAAUACAUUGAUCUUACUGAAAAAAGGAAGUUUUACUUAGUUUUUUUUUCCUUAUUAUUGAAACAAUAUUACAUUACAUUAUAAUGUUAUAUCUACUUCCUUUAAGCGGAGUUUGUGUUAGAAGUAGAAAACUAUUUAGCCAUAUUAACUAUUAGGUAAAUGUAAUUAUUGUGGAUUAAAUUUUUGGAUACUACAAUAGAAAUGUUACUCAGGUUCUUAAAUGAUUCUUUACAAUUAUGAUUAGAUGAUGAUUAAAUUAAAGGUUUUAAUCUACACAGUAUAAAUCAUUGGCUCAUUAUAAACUUUUGAUGUCAAGAUUUCUUUUUAAUGUAUACAUCAUAAUGAUAAUAUUUUGUGCCGUUAUAAAUUGUACAUUGCCAUAUUAACUUUUAGGUAAAUGUAAUUAUUCUGGAUUAAAUUUUUGGAUACAACUAUAGAAAUGUUACUCAGGUUCUUAAAUGAUAUACAUUUUUAUUGAUCUAUUUAUAAAAAUGUUCACAUUAUUAAUAAACAUACAAAGUAUAAUUGUAUCUGGGACCUUUAGUGGUUUUUACAGUCACUACUGUGUUUAUAAAAUAUAUCAUAUCUCAAUUUACCCAAUUCAUUAUGUUAUAAAUAUAAGAAAAUGAAAGAGACAAAAUAUCCAGUUCCCAAAAGCUGGAAAUAACCUUUCAAUUUGAAGAUUGUUUAUGCAAGCUUCAAUCAACCAAUUGCAUUGUGUGCUAUUAUGAACUGUCCAGUGUUUUCCUAGUAAAUAAUUUUAUAAUGAUUUUUUAUGAAUUUUCUGUUUUUUUUUUUUUUGUAUUUAAAGCUUUGAAUCAUUGUGUUAUUUUCUUAACUUUGUCAACAUAUUUAUAUUUAUUGAAUCUACAUAAGCAUAUUACAAUUGAUUUUUUCUAAUCGGUUUUUUUUUUCAGAUUUGGAAUGUGUAAAUUCCUUAUUAAUGCAGAAGCCAUAAUGAACUGUAACCCAAGAGCAGUUUAAUGAAAGAUAUAUUCCUGGAAUUUUUUCAUUAUGGAUUUUAAUUUUAUAAUGAUUUUUUAUGAAUUUACUGUUUUUUUUUUUUGUAUUUAAAGCUUUGAAUCAUUGUGUUAUUUUCCAAACUUUGUCAACUUAUUUAUAUUUAUUGAAUCUACAUAUGCACAUUACAAUUGAUUUUUUCUAAUCGGUUGUUUUUUUUUUUCAGAUCUCGAAUGUGUAAAUUCCUUAUUAAUGCAGAAGCCAUAAUGAACUGUAACCCAAGAGCAGUUUAAUGAAAUAUAUUCCUGGAAUUUUUUCAUUAUGGAUUUUGAAUUGUCUCCUCUCAGAAUAUUAAUCACAUUCAGUUUUCUUCAUUCCUCUUUAUUCUGGUGAGUUUUUUUUAUAUUUAAUUAAAUAAGGGACUAUAUUUAUUUUAAUCAUAGAUAGUUUAUAAUAUUUUGCUUGUAAAAAUUUAAUACAAUGGAUAAUAAGUUAUUUUAAGCAUAAUUAUUUUAUGGUUCACUUACAAAAAAUGAUUAGCUUACCAGAUGUCUUUAUAUUGGAUGUUUAAAAAAUACAUAUCAAUAUUUAGAUAGAUGUAGUAUUAGAAUUUUUUAUAUUCCACCCAUUUUUUUUUAUUUAAGACUAUAAUAUUGGAACAAUUAUGAUUAGAUGAUGAUUAAAUUAAAGGUUUUAAUCUACACAGUAUAAAUCAUUGGCUCAUUAUAAACUUUUGAUGUCAAGAUUUCUUUUUAACCUAUACAUCAUAAUGAUAAUAUUUUGUUUAUGAUUAGAUGAUGAUUAAAUCGGUUGUUUUUUUUUUCAGAUUUUGAAUGUGUAAAUUCCUUUUUAUGUAAUGUAUCCUUAUAUAAUGUAAUGACUAUAUGACAAUGGAAGAAACAACAUGUCCUCUGUUUUGAAAAGAACAACAUGUGUACAAUAAAAAUAAUUGAUCUACAAAUUGAAGGGUUAUCUCU